GUGAACGCCCUCACGGGCUUAUACUAUUCCAAACCUCUGUGAACCGUGCUCUUCGGGGCUAUUUUACAAACAUGGUGUAAUGAACGUCAUAUAUCAUAACAAAACA
rnacentral:misc_RNA from 1 species